rnacentral:rRNA from 1 species
UGGGGAAUAUUGGACAAUGGGCGCAAGCCUGAUCCAGCCAUGCCGCGUGAGUGAUGAAGGCCCUAGGGUUGUAAAGCUCUUUCACCGGUGAAGAUAAUGACGGUAACCGGAGAAGAAGCCCCGGCUAACUUCGUGCCAGCAGCCGCGGUAAUACGAAGGGGGCUAGCGUUGUUCGGAUUUACUGGGCGUAAAGCGCACGUAGGCGGACUUUUAAGUCAGGGGUGAAAUCCCGGGGCUCAACCCCGGAACUGCCUUUGAUACUGGAAGUCUUGAGUAUGGUAGAGGUGAGUGGAAUUCCGAGUGUAGAGGUGCAAUUCGUAGAUAUUCGGAGGAACACCAGUGGCGAAGGCGGCUCACUGGACCAUUACUGACGCUGAGGUGCGAAAGCGUGGGGAGCAAACAGG